UAUCGAUCCUUUAGACCUUC
rnacentral:snRNA from 1 species